ACGCUCGACACCUACGGGAAGCAGCAGUGAGGAAUAUUGGUCAAUGGGCGCAGGCCUGAACCAGCCAAGUAGCGUGAAGGAUGACUGCCCUAUGGGUUGUAAACUUCUUUUAUAUGGGAAUAAAGUUUUCCACGUGUGGAAUUUUGUAUGUACCAUAUGAAUAAGGAUCGGCUAACUCCGUGCCCGCAGCCGCGGUAAUCGAGCGGGCUGGCAAGGC
rnacentral:rRNA from 1 species